GACCAUCCUCCAAGGCUAAAUACUCCUGACUGACCGAUAGUGAACCAGUACCGUGAGGGAAAGGCGAAAAGAACCCCGGCGAGGGGAGUGAAAAAGAACCUGAAACCGUGUACGUACAAGCAGUGGGAGCCUCUUUAUGGGGUGACUGCGUACCUUUUGUAUAAUGGGUCAGCGACUUAUAUUCUGUAGCAAGGUUAACCGAAUAGGGGAGCCGAAGGGAAACCGAGUCUUAACUGGGCGUUAAGUUGCAGGGUAUAGACCCGAAACCCGGUGAUCUAGCCAUGGGCAGGUUGAAGGUUGGGUAACACUAACUGGAGGACCGAACCGACUAAUGUUGAAAAAUUAGCGGAUGACUUGUGGCUGGGGGUGAAAGGCCAAUCAAACCGGGAGAUAGCUGGUUCUCCCCGAAAGCUAUUUAGGUAGCGCCUCGUGAAUUCAUCUCCGGGGGUAGAGCACUGUUUCGGCAAGGGGGUCAUCCCGACUUACCAACCCGAUGCAAACUGCGAAUACCGGAGAAUGUUAUCACGGGAGACACACGGCGGGUGCUAACGUCCGUCGUGAAGAGGGAAACAACCCA
rnacentral:rRNA from 1 species